UAGGGAAUCUUCGGCAAUGGACGAAAGUCUGACCGAGCAACGCCGCGUGAGUGAAGAAGGUUUUCGGAUCGUAAAACUCUGUUGUUAGAGAAGAACAAGGACGUUAGUAACUGAACGUCCCCUGACGGUAUCUAACCAGAAAGCCACGGCUAACUACGUGCCAGCAGCCGCGGUAAUACGUAGGUGGCAAGCGUUGUCCGGAUUUAUUGGGCGUAAAGCGAGCGCAGGCGGUUUCUUAAGUCUGAUGUGAAAGCCCCCGGCUCAACCGGGGAGGGUCAUUGGAAACUGGGAGACUUGAGUGCAGAAGGGGAGGGUGGAAUUCCAUGUGUAGCGGUGACAUGCGUAGAUAUAUGGAGGAACACCAGUGGCGAAGGCGGCUCUCUGGUCUGUAACUGACGCUGAGGCUCGAAAGCGUGGGGAGCAAACAGG
rnacentral:rRNA from 1 species